rnacentral:rRNA from 1 species
CAGCCGCCGCGGGAAUACGUAGGUCCCGAGCGUUGUCCGGAUUUAUUGGGCGUAAAGGGAGCGCAGGCGGUUUAGUAAGUCUGAAGUUAAAGGCAUUGGCUCAACCAAUGUAUGCUUUGGAAACUGUUAGACUUGAGUGCAGAAGGGGAGAGUGGAAUUCCAUGUGUAGCGGUGAAAUGCGUAGAUAUAUGGAGGAACACCGGUGGCGAAGGCGGCUCUCUGGCUUGUAACUGACGCUGAGGCUCGAAAGCGUGGGGAGCAAACAGGAUUAGAUACCCCCGUAGUCCCUGUCUCUUAUACA